CUUUUGACGACGAAGAGAGAUCCUUCAACAUCCUUACGACUCCAUUGGCUGAGAUCGAUGUUGAACUCGUAGAAGGUGACAUGAGCGGCCGUGAUGAGGAUCUCCUCAAUGAAUGGAUCAAUUCGCUGAAGAACCGUCAGGUUUAGGAGUUUUGUGCUCUGCUGGUCCAGAUUAGGCAUCAAUUUUCCGUUCUGCGACAUAUUUCAUAGUCCUUUUGGGCUCUGCCCCCAGCACAAGCCCCAUGGUUUUUCUGUGAGCUCUCUCUUUUGUAAAUAAAGUGUUCGAUGAGAUAGCCGAGAGAGAGUGAAAGAGUUGAACAGCCAAACAAGGUGAGGUGAACAGUUUCGGACCGAGACUCGAGAUUGAUCUUGCUUUAACUUCUUUUUAAACAUUUGGGAAAUAGCAUUUAUUUCUUUCAAUUUCUCUACUUUUUUUUUCCUUUAUGUCAUUUAGACCCCAAAAUUAGAUUUAUUAUAAUCAUAUUUUACCCAUACACUAUUAACCCAUUUUAUUUUUUAAAUUGUCAAAUAUUAAUGUAUUAAAAUAAUGUUAGAAAUCCCAAUUAUUAUCUCAAUGUUUCAAUCAUAACUAAUGUGAUAACUCAUCGGUAACUGCAACAUUAACUUAAUUAUUAAUGUUUAUCAUGAAAUGAUGAGAUUAUUAUUCAAGAAAAACUUAGUAAACAUCAAUGACUAAUAUAAUAUGACAAUUACAGCUGAAUAUUAGUACAAGAAUUAGGAUCCCUAAAGUUAGUGAAUGUAUUAUAAUAUAUGUGUGUUACACCACUUUAUGUCUCUCAAAUUUAAUUAAGUAAUUUUAUAUUCAAUGAAUCAAUGUAAUCUAAAGAGAACUCUUCCAUUUCAAACUGUGUUAGAAGAUAUUUGCAAAGCCUAAAGAUAAUAUACAAGGACCAAGAUAUACACAGAUUGUUUCUUUAUGGAAUUAAAGAGCUUUAUAGAUGUUAAAACUGUUUCAAACAAUUUUUCUUGUUUGGUUUAACUAAGGAAGAGCUUGUGGAAGAUUAAAAAUGAUGUUUCCUAUUCUCUGUAGGAAGCUUUUAGGAGAUAUUUUGGGCUUUUUUGAAAGGUUGAAUUGUCAAAAAUACCUUCAUGUUAUUGUUUGCUAAAAGAUGUUAUGGACAACUAAACAACCAACGACAUUUUGUUAAAAACUCUACUAGUGUAGGAUCUACUUAAAGAAGUUAUACCAAACAGACUCUUAGACUGAAUAACCCGAUCUUAAGUUUGUAAAAUUGGGCUCAGAAUCUUCACUAACAACCCCGCUUCGGUGAGAAAGCCCAAGCCUGUUACUUUGUAUAACCUUAUUCUGUAUGUUUGAUUGUAGGAACUGGCCAAUCAUACCGACGAGGUGAGUGUGCAGCAUGAGGUGCUUGACGGGAUGUUUACUUUCAAUGAUACAACUAAAGCUAGCCUCAACAUAUAUCAGGUGCCUGCUUGUUUUUGCCUUCUAGAUACUAAUAUUGUUUAGACGUGUAAUCUCUCUCUCCAUUGAACGCUAGCCAAGAGAAAUGUCUGAAUUAUCGAAACAAGAUGAAUUAUUUUUUGUUUAUCGCAGCAGACGAUCUAUGAGCAGAAUUUCUUACAACAAAAGAUGUGUGUCCACCGGCUUGUAUUUAGUCUCGUAAUGCAUUUUAUAUAUAUGCACGCGCACACAGUUUGAGAAGAAUCAGACCAUUAAUUUUCGUUUGAGCCAAUCAACAGAAUGUACAUUUCUUCUAUGAACUUGUAACCGAAACCGCAGUUUUUCAGGUUUGAUGCAUCUGGGAAAAUUUUCAGAUGGAAUAAAACCACCAUGCGCCAAGGUACCAAUGAUGUUUCUUCCAGCUUACGAGCACUUCAAAUAAACUUAGGUCAUAUUUACACAAGGGCGCACAUGAUAUCAAUCUAAUGGCAAUUAUAUCAUCUAAAAUCCAAGACCAAGAGUCUCCCAUUUUCCCGUUCCCUACUCUGUUCAUAUUAUCAUAACUUGAAGUUGCAAGGCAGCCGCAAUCUCCCAGAUCUUUGCUCCUUCCUCAUAGCAGUUAAUCAAACGAUAAACAGAGAUAUCCCAUGUCAACAAGGAGGUAAUCAUAAAAGAACAACAGAAUUGUUGCAAUAUAUUCAUAUGAAAUGUAAAACAAUUUUGAGAAAAAAUAUUGGGAAGAUAUUUUUUUUUUCAUAGAAGUUGCAAUCUUUACGUUAUAUACUAGUUUGACUAGACUAUACAAGGAAGCUAUAUGAAAUUAGAAAAAUAAGCUAUACUAGGAAAGAAUAAAUAUAUGUACAGAAAAUUAGGCUAUAAUCUCUGACUUUCAACAAAUUUAAUAUCAAUUUUCUUCAGGAAGUUGUCUCGCAAGGGGCGCAUCAGUAUUGCAACGUCUGCUGGGUCUUACAUUAUCCACAAAAAUAACUCGUCCAUCUAGUAACUGCAAGUACAUACUGUGAGAUGCUUAAACUCAACAAUAUAAGCAUGGUAAAUUAGAGAAAAAUGAUGCAAUUUUACCUUCCCAUUCAUGUCUGCCAAGGCUUUUUGGGCUUCCUCUUAUGUACUGAAAGUCACAUAUCCGUAACCUUUUGAUCUAUUCUUACCUUAUCCAUUAUUAUUGUAGCUGCAAAAAGAAAAGAAUCGGAUAUUACAAAAUAGUGAAGAGGGAAGAGGGGUUGAGACUUAAAACAGAAAUAGACCAAACCCUCAGUGACGUGGCCAAAUUGUGAAAAAGCAUCAGCUAACAUGCCUUUAGUGGUUGAGAAAGAUGCGCCUGCAAAGGAUGCCAGUUAAUUUUAUCAUAAUUAGAUGGUAAGAUUGCAAAUUCUGCAGCCAAAGGUAGUACGGAACUGAAUGAAGGAAAUCAAAUAUGAAUAUGUUGUCAAUCUCAAAAUAUUAAGAGUAGCAUAAGUAACUUGUGAAACAGUUAUAAGUUCAAGGGAAUUAGAUGAUGGUAUGGUUGAAUUUAUAAAUAUUUGAUAUUUAACAAGUUAGUGUGUACUAUGCAAUUGCAAAAUUUAAGUUCCACAGAAUCGGUUCCUUUAACAUGAUGCAUCACAUAAUAUUUUGUUUGCAAAAUAAAGAAGAAAGAUGACAUAAUAGAAACACUCACAGAGAGAGAAUACCUUUGACGAAAAGCUUAGAAGUGAAUCCUCUGUAAAAUACGAGUUGAGCUGCUGAAUUUUCGAGUUUGAAUGAGAGACUGCGGCAAUUCUGAAAAUGUUUUUUUCUCAUUAGCGCCGCCAUUUUUGUAAUAGAGGGUAAAGAAAUAAGUAACAGAGUAAGAGGUGAGCAGAAACGGCCCAAUUUAGUUAUAUGCCAUGCAUGCGAUCAAAAUUGAAUGGUUAAAUGGCAGCCACUAUGUUACAUCUUGUGUAAGUAACAAACCGCCUACAUGGAUCGUUGGAUUUGGGAAUAUGAAAUCCAAUGGAUAAUAUUGAAUUUAACGAAAAAUAGAUUACAGGUUGCAUUAGUCCAAGAUUAUUUCAAACAAACCAGCUGAUGAAAUAGCCGCUAAUCAAAUUUAAAAGGGAAAAAAAAUCAUAGGUUAUAGAUCUUAUUUCCAUCUUAAAUCUAUGUCUUUCAUGGUAACUCAAUGUGUAUUCUAAUUUAUAAUUUGGAUCUAUAUUAGAGCUAAUGCUUCCCUAAAUAACUAAGAAAAUUUUCUUUUCAUUGAUUAAAUAUCUAUUUCCAAGAUCUUGUAUAUGUAGGAUUUGAAAAGAGGGAGAAUAGUAGGGUUGAUAAUGAGAGAAGAUAGAGAUGUCCAUUCUCAAAUCUAAUAUUAAUGCUAUACUUAUGUUCCUAUACUAAAUAAAUUAUCCAAGGUUCGUGGUUAAUGAUAAGUUGCGAAAUUUUAAUUUCUAUUUAAAGUUUUGUCUAAUAUGGCUUUUCAUAAAGCUUAGAGAAAAGUAGAGCUUUUACAAAAAAACAUUUAAUUAGAAUUGUGAAUGAUAAAUUUUAUUAAAAUUUUUUAAAAAGUACUUUAAUAAAUAAGCUUUUAAAGUUAUAUAUAUUAUGAAAGAAAUGAAAUAAGAUUAUAUAAUAAAUUAAGAGUAUCUUAGAUAAUUGAACUUAAAAAAAAAACUCGCUAAGAGGAUUAAAAUUUGAGUUUUAAUAGUGGAUACAAAAUAGUUUAUUUAAUUCUCAAAAGCUCUACUCAAAAUAGUUUAUUUAAUUCUCAAAAAAUAUUUUUUUCAAUGAGUAAAUAAUACUAAACAUGCACUAAAGUGUUAGGACCAGAAGUUGUCCAAAUAAAAUCAUGAAAUUAUAUGCUGUUGGAUGGAUAUUUUUCAAAUUUGCUGUAGUUUUUUUUUCUUUUCUGCUGGGAAAUUGAAAUGAUGGCUACAACUUAAAUUAUGAAUGGAGUAAUCGGAGAAUAUUGAAACCCAUUUAAUUUGGAUCGUGCAUUGAGGGACGAAAGGAUAAAAAAUUUAAUUUUGAAAUUGCUGUUGGGUACGGUACAAUGACUUACCGUUGACAGCUUGUGCAACCGGAUUACAAUCGGUUAGUUCAAUAAUUUUAUAUCCCUAUUCAACCGCCACGUGCUGCUGUUACAUGGGUCAAUUACUCAUGUCAUUACUGUUACUUACAGCUGCUGUAACAUAACCGGACCCAAAUGGUUAAAUUCUGUUGUUUCCAAUAAUUUUAUGCUGUAUCUUCUUUAAUAAUAAAGAAAACUUGCAUUAAAAUUAAAAUUAGGGUAAUGCCUGAUUUUAUAAAUAGAUUGCAAUGUAAUUUUGAAAAAUAAAUUAAUAAUUUACGAAAUGUUUAUAACAUAAUUUAAUUUUUUUCAAAAAGGAAAAACAACAAAAGUAAAAAAUAGAGAAUGAGGGCUACAAACUUUGCAUCUUAAACGGCCGUUAGAUUAUUUGUAAAUGAAAGCAACGGUCAGAUAUUGGUGGAUUAUGGAAACAUGUAAUCAUAAGGACUACGAGUUUUUUUUUGUUACAUUAAUAUAUUACAAUCAAAAUUCUGUUGGUAUUUAGAACCAGAAUUUCAUUUGACUAUCUUUGAUAAUUCUAAGCUGGUACAGCCUAAAUUCUUAUUCUCAUAUAAUAUCAAAGAGAGAUAUAUAUUCUUCUCCUCUAUUAAUAAAGAGACAUUUUUACUUCUAUCCAAUUUAAAUAGAACAAGAAUUAAGUCAUUUUAAUAGUUAGGACUCAAAACUCAUACACGUUAGUUUGAGAGUGUGGGGUGUGACAAUGGGCCAAGAGACCAUUGACAAAUACAAAAGAGUGGCAGAAAUUAAUUCAAACCGCUACACACGCUAUUGCAACCAAAUUGAGGGCACAUUUUUGUUUAUUUUGUUGAAAAGUAGUCUGUAAAAUUAACUCAAACCGCUACAUACGCUAAUGCAACCCAAUUGAGGGCCCAUUUUUGUUUAUUUCGUUGAAAAGUAGUUUGCGCAAUUAAUUCAAACCGCUACACACACUAUUGCAUCUUUUGAAAAAGAAAAAUGGAAUAAUUUUUCAAAAUUAAUUUAGAGAAUAAGAUUUACUAAUAAUGAUGUUAGAAAUCUUAAUAUUUGAAUCUUAAUAUUAUCUAUAGAAAUCUUAAUAUUUGAAUCUUAAUAUUAUCUAUCACUCAUUUAUUAAAUAAUAAAUUUCAUAGUUUGUAAAAUUACUUAACCACUUGAUAAAUGUUAUAUUUGUUGGGACUAGAUUGGGACUUAAAUAUUAGAAUAUCUAGUAUUACAUAAAAAAAAUUAACAAUUUAUCUUCACACGACUAAUUGUUUUUACAUCACAACUAACCUUAAUUAUUUUAAAAGUUAUAGUAUUAUUAAAUUGCCCUAACUAGUUAUCAAAAGGUGAAAGCAUGUUUUAAAAAGAAAUUACUAAGAAACAUUUGUUUAAACGAAGGUUAAGGUUAUGAUCAAUUAAUUAAGAAGAAACUUACUAUCAAAGGUUAAGAUUAUGAACAAUUUAAGGAAGUUAUUGAGCAGAGAAAGGGACAGAAUGGAUGUUUGAAUUGCCGGUGACAAGAAUGCUUGUGUUGUGAAAAGAAAUCCGAUGGUUUGUAAAUGGGUUGAAUUUUUCGCUCGCUUCAAUGACUUGCUUAUGCCCAAUAUAUUACUUUGCACAGUAGUAUUUGGGAUCCUAACAAUCAACUCUUAAUUUGGUCCCAAUAUAUUACUUUAUGAAUGAUUAGUUAAUAACUAUCAUGUUAAAGCUUCUGUCAAGCAAACACCCAUUGAAUUUUUCGCUCGCUUCAAUGACUUACUUAUGCCCAAUAUAUUACUUUGCACAGUAGUAUUUGGGAUCCUAACAAUCAACUCUUAAUUUGGUCCCAAUUAGUAUAGUAAUCAUCUAUUGAGCGGUAAAAUUUUCUUGCUUUCAAUUUCCACUGUUAUUUUUUUUAAAUAAAAUAAUUUAUUUAAACUAGUCAUAGAAAUAAGAGAGAAAAGGGGUCAUUUCUUGACUCAAAGUCAAUUGUAAUUAUCAAAACUUGAGGGGACAUCGCAUGCCUAAAUUCCACACACCCUAAAACGGUUUGAUUUGCUUUCAGGCGUUCAUGAAUUUCCAUGAAAGAGCCUGCCUUUCGUCUCUUUCGGGACAGUGACUACAAUAAUGGAAAAAAUUAUAAUUCUCGUUAGAUUGUAACCAAAUUAUUAUCCCUAAUUUUUUUAAGUUAAAUAUAAUUAAAUUCAUGCUUAAGUAUUUAGUAAUUAGAGAGAGAUAGAGAGGAUUGAGGGCCAAUGUUUCGCGAUUUGGGGUCAAUUUAAAGUCAACUAACGUGUAAAACACGUGUAUGCAUAGAAAACGCUUAGAUUAUUUGUGUUCCCAAGUGCAAGAAAUUAAGAAAAGAAAAUUUGAUUUCCUUUCAUGAACUUCCAAGAAAGAAAGAAGACCCUUCACCUUGUUCGUGACAACAAAUGAAUGAAUGAUGUUGAUAUGACAAAUACAAGCGCUAUUACAGGGAACAGCAUAAGAUCGAGACUUGAUAAAGGGUUUGUUAAAUUACAUGUUAUUUUCUUUUGACUUGAAUGAUGUUGAAGAAAAAAAUAAAAUAACAUUGUAAUCAGGGUGAUGUGUGGAAUAUAGUGAAAUAAAUAAAUAGAGAAGAGAAAUUCGUUGAUCAAUAUUCAAGAACUCAUCCAAAGUGAUCGUCAAAGUCUAGAGGUUCGGUAUGAUUAGCAUUUAUUUUUAUUUUUUUUUGGCUUAGCAUCAUAUAUAGUCACCUGUCGUGUGAUCUAGGACAUGUUUAGAAAUCCUUUUAUUUUAACUUCCGUAUUCUUAUUAUUUAAUUAGUUAUUGGGUUUUUAAGUAUUUGAGUAUUGAUCACAUGUCUCCUAAUCUAAAAAUAUGUUUUUAAGAGUACAAAUAACAAACUAGGAUUUUAACAGCCUUUUAUACUAAACCCUAAAAAUACAUGAAUUUAUCAAAAUAAGUAAAUUAAUUUAAAUUGGUAUGGCAUAUUAGAAGUUUUACCAGCCGAAACAAAUUAAAAAAAUAUUACACUUAAAUCAAAUAUUGACAAAAAUAGAUAACAAUCUAAUGAGAAUCUUAACUAGACAUUUUUACUUCUAUCCAAUUUAACUGGAUAAAUUGACAAAUAUUGACAAAAAUAGAUAACUCAUACACGCUAGUUUGAGAGUGUGGGGUGUGACAAUGGGUCAAAAGACCAUUGACAGGUAUAAAAGAGUGGUCGCAAUUAAUUCAAACCGCUACACACGCUAUUGCGUCUUUUAAAAAAGAAAAAUGGAAUAGUUUUCCAAAAUUAAUUCAGAGAAGAAGAUUUACUAAUAAUGAUGUUAGAAAUCUUAAUAUUUGAAUCUUAAUAUUAUGUAUCACUCAUUUAUUAAAUAAUAGAUUUCAUAGUUUGUAAAUUUACUUAACCACUUGAUAAAUGUUAUAUUUGUUGGGACUAAAUUGGGACUUAGAUGUUGGAAUAUCAAGUAUUGCAUAAAAAUAAAAAAUAAAAACUUAACAAUUUAUCUUCACAUGACUAAUUGUUUUUACAUCACAACUAACCUUAGUUAUUUUUUAAAGUUAUAGUAUUAUUAAAUUGCCCUAACUGGUUAUCAAAAGAUGAAAGCAUGUUAAAAUAAGAAAUUACUAAGAAACAUGUGCUUAAACAGAGGUUAAGGCUACGAACAAUUAAGAAGAAACAACUUACAAUCAAAGGUUAAGAUUAUGAACAAAUUAAGGAAGGUAUUGAGCAGAUAAAGGGACGAAAUCAUUGUCUGAAUUGCCGGUGACAAGAAUGCUUGUGUUGUGAAAAGAAACCUGAUGGUUUGUAAAUGGGUUGAAUUUUUUAUUCGGUCGCUCCAACUGACUUACUAAUGCCAAAUUUAUUACUUUGCACAGUAGUGUUUAGGAUCCUCAAGAUCAACUCUUAAUUUGGUCCCAAUUAGUGUAGAAAUCAUCUAUUGAGCAAUAGAAUAAGAAUUUUUCUAGUCAUGAAAUUCAAUAUAUAAUAUAUCCUUGACACACAUCGAUUAUAACUUAACUGUUAGAAUUCAUAACAUUACUCUACUCUCAAGGGGAGUUCUCUUAACAUAUUAUGUUAGGUUGCCUACAUUCAAAAUAUGUUAGGCUGCUCUUUGAAAACAAUAUUCCUUUUUCCGUAACUUUGAAUUGAUCCAAUAGCUCUUGAAAAGCACAUAAUAAUCAUUAUAAAUUUAAUCAAAGACUAAGCAAGUCUUCUUUGCAUUUGAUCACUGGCAUUUCAGUUAAGUUUGUCAUUUACUUAAAUUUUUCUUGCUUUCAAUUUCCACUGUUGUUUUUUUUAAUAAAAUAAUUUAUUUAAACUAGUAAUAGAAAUAAGAGAGAAAGGGGUUUUCUUGACUCAAAGUCAAUUAUAAUCAUCAAAACUUGAGCGGACAUUGCAUGCCUAAAUUCCACGCACCCUAAAACGGUUUGAUUUGCUUUCACGCGUUCAUGAUUUUCCAUGAAAGAUAGUGCCUGUCGUCUCUUUCCGGACAGUGACUACAGUCAUGGAAAAAUUAUGUUAAAGUGACGAAUACAAAACGUUAUUACAUGCAAGAAUAAGUUUUUGGAGCCGAGACUUGAGGGAGGUUCUAUCUAAUUCUAAAGAUUGUAACCAAAUCAUUAUCCCCAAUUUUUUUCAGUUAAAUAAAAUAAAAUUUAUGCUUAAGUAUAAAUAAUUUUUUUAAGUUAAAUAUAAAAUAAAAUUCAUGAACUUCCUAGAAAGAAAGAAGACCCUUCACCUUCUUCACGACAACAAAUGAUGUUGAUAUGACAAAUACAAGCGCUAUUACAGGGAACAGCAUGAGACCGAGACUUGAUAAAUAUUAAAUAUAUAAAAUAAGUGGAGCAAACAAACAGAAUAAUAGAUUUUUAUAAUAUUCUUCAUAAAAAUCCAAGUUUUGAGCUGGCCCAUAAGCUUAUCUAGUGAAGUCUGGGUAUCCGCAUUGCCCAAGGUUCCGCUUGAAUCCAGGCUGUGCUGAUAUUUAUGACAUCCCAUAUGGACGGAGAGGAAAUAUAUUCAGUUGACUGAAUUAAAUAAAAAUAUAUUACAAUCAUAUUAUAUAUUAGCAGCAAAAAUAAAAAGAAAUGAAGAAAAACGCUGUGUGGUUCAAAAAGAGUGUGGGUGAGUGAGUUAAUUUUCAUAUUAUUAGUAGUAAAAGGGUGGUGGAGUGAGGGAUGUUUGGAGCAAGAGAGGUCUGCUCUCCUCCAACUCAAACAUUUCUUCGAUGAUGAUCACCGUCUUCAAAACUGGGUAGACGAUGAGAAUUAUUCAGAUUGUUGUCAGUGGGAAGGGGUUGAGUGCAAUAACACCACUGGCAGAGUGAUUGAAUUAUAUCUAGGAGCCACUAGGAAUCGGGAAUCAGCAGAGUGGCAUAUGAAUGCUUCUCUGUUUACUCCCUUUCAACAAUUAGAGUCUCUUGAUUUAAGUUUGAACAAUAUAGCCGGUUGUGUUGAAAAUGAAGGUCCUUAAUUUACUUUAUUUUAAUUCUUCCUAUAAAUUUCUUACAUUUAUCUGAUCCCUUUUGGCUUUUGUUUAAUUUGUACGUGAUACAAUAAAAUUAUUUUUUAUUUUUUGGCAGGUCUAGAUAGGUUAUCAAGGUUGAACAACUUGAAGUUUCUUUUUUUAGACUUUAACUGCUUCAACAACAACAUCUUUUCAUCUCUAGGUGGUCUUUCAUCACUCAGGAUCUUAUCAUUGUUUCUUAAUAGAUUGAAUGGAAGUGUUGACAUUAAAGGUAAAGUAAGCUUCAUCCCUUCUCCCGUGUCCCAUCUUUUGUGGAUCUUAUUUCAUCGACCAGCUGGAAGUAUUGAUACGAGAUCUUGCUAGUGCAAGCUUCAAGGCUUUGAGUGCUACAAAAAUAGGUCUAAGAAAUUAUCAAUACAUAACGUUAUUACAUACAAUAAUAGUUCUAAAGAUUGUAACAAAAUCAUUAUCCCCAAUUUUUUUAAGUUAAAUAAAAUAAAAUUCAUGCUUAAGUAUAAAUAAUACUUUGGACAUUCUUGAUAUUUGUCCUUUUAAGAUAAACAGCAACCCAAUUAUCUAUUUGUUUGUCUGUUUUUUUUUUUUCAAUAACAGUUUGUUAGCAUAAAUAUUUACCUGUGAAGUCGAGGAGGAGAAAAUGUUAGAAAAAAUAAAAAGAAAAAAAAUUAAGGGGGAUAGAAUUAGAUUUUCUUUUUUGAGCAAAGAACAUACGUAAAAAGAUAUUAAAUCUAUUAAGUCUAAUUGUCUAUAACGGUAAAUUGCAUAACGAAUAAUUUAUUAGCGUAAAAUAAAUUUUAUUAGAUUCUGAUUAUUUGUUUGAUUUCUUUUCUCUCUGGACUCAACUUAUUUUGUUUAUUUGAUUUGAUUUUAUUUUUUUUUUAAAGAAACUUAUUGUUUAUCAAUACUGAAUGGCUUAAGAUUGAUGUCUUGAUAAUAGAUGGGGCAAUAUUGCAUUUUUAAUGCAGUAGACUUUGAAGUUAUCAUUGACAAGCUUAGAUGAAUUACUAGGACCAUAAUACAAAUGUCACAGGCAUCGAAGGCACUUACCAAGUUUUGAGUACAUUCCUGUUCCUAUCUAAUAGUUUUUAAUUUCUUUAAUUUAAGACCCCAUUCAUUAAUAUUUUCUUUAUUGUGAAGUUAAUUUUUUUAUCUGAAAUUAAAUUUUUUUUUUAAAUUGUUGACUUAUAGUUUACCUUUGUGUUAAAUGUUGGCAAAAUUAUUUUGUCCAAACCAUUUUUUUUGUCCUGAACGUCCAACUAAAAACUGAAUCAAGGGUUAAGUUGUAAGGUUUCAGUUCGUCCGUUAUAUUAAUUUAUUGUUUUAAUAUUAUGCAGUACAAAUAGGUGUAUAAGUCCAGAGGCGGAUGCAGCACAUGACCAGUGGGGGCUUGAGCCCCCACUGGCCAAAAAAAAAAAUUAAAAAUAAAAGAAUUUUUAAAAUUUUUUAAUUAGCCUCAUUAAAUUUAUUAAAAUAGUCACUAUAAAAUAUAAAUCCCAUAAAAUUUAAACUUUGAUUUUUAAAAAAUAUAAAAAUAUAUAUUUUAAUUAAAAAUAAUGAUAGCCCACUACUCAAAAAUUUUCUAUUCUAAAAAAUAUGGUUAAUUCUUCCAGUUUAUAUAAUAAUAGUAGAACGAACAGUUUCAGUAAUAAAACUCAUGAAGAAUCAUCUUUGGAAUCGGAUGGGAUACGUGAUAGUUUGAUUGUUUAUAUAGGAAAUAAUAAAUUUAAUAAUAUUGAUAAUGAGCCUAUUGCAUAACAUUUUAAAAAUAUAAAAAUGCGUAGAGACUAAUUAUAAAUAUUUUAUAUAUUCAAAAUUUUAAUUUUUUAUAUUUUACUAUUAUCUAAUUUAGCCCCCGGUAAAUUAUUUUUUUAGAUCCGCCACUGUAUAAGUCCAUCAUUUAAAUGCAAAAUGAAACCACAUCAAUAUAGAAAUUAAAAGAAAAUGAAUUCUCACAACCAUACGGUGAGAUUCAAACUCUCUAUCUCCGAGGAUUUCUUAAAGUUAUUCUUAAAUUACACUUAAAUGGUUAAAUUUAAUAAAUAAAGGUUUAAUUCUUUUCUCGCACAUUGUAGAAGCAAAUUUUCUCCUCUGUUGAAAAUUCUAAAUAUUUUUUUAAAUUAGGUUUCAACUAUGACAUGUCAGGACAGAUUUGAUACAUUUCUAAUGCAACCGAUAUAACAACACAACUUUGUGAUUUUUACUAUUCAGGAGAAGAAGAACACAACCUGUAUAACCCAACCGUUUAUAUACAAACAUCGAAUCGCUUUUUAAAAUUAAAUUGGGAAAAUUGGGGAUAUAAUCGUUUUUCAUAUAUAUACAUUUUUUCCUUACAAAUUAAAUUCAUGGUUGUUAGCUAAAUAUACCCGCUUAAAGCCACUCAGUCGAACCCUUUGAGAGCUGCUUUAAAUUUUUCGGAUUAGCCAUAUUCUUUUCACUGAGAUUUAACAUAAAAAAAAGGAGAAAAUAAGUUAUUUAAUUAACUCUAUUUUUAAGUGUUGGCAUAAAUACAGGACUCGAUUCCUUGAGUAACUUGGAGAUGCUGGACAUGAGCGACAAUGCAAUCGACAAUCUAGUGGUUCCUAAAGGUAUACAAAAUGUUCAAAUAUUUAUAAUUUGGAGGACAAUUUAAUUGAUUUGAUAAGGGAAUGCCCAAUGACACUUAUCCAAAAUAAUUUAAUCCGAAAUUGUAUCCCAAAUAGAUUACAGAGGCUUGAGGAAGUUGAAUACCCUUGGCUUAGGGGGAACGGAAACUGCAAUUAUAGAUGGAAGUAAGGUGUUGCAAUCAAUAGGAUCACUACCGUCCCUCAAAACACUUUACCUUUCGUGUACUAAUUUUACGGGAACAGUAGUUAAUCAAGGUAAGUAAAUCUUUUAUGUCGAAAAUAAUUGAAUUAAUAUAUAUAGCUAAAAUUUAUUGUUUUUACUUCUUUCUAAAUAGAAUUGCACAAUUUCACCAACUUGGAAGAAUUGAUAUUGUACAAGUCUGAUCUCCAUGUAAGCCAACUUCUGCAAGCAUCAUUCACUUCGUUAAAGAAUCUGUCAAUGCAUUAUUGUGUACUCAAGGGUGCCCUACAUGGUCAAGGUAAAUUACGGGUAUCCGAAGCUUUUAUGAUAUUAAUUUGAUAAUAAUUCUUUCUUUUCAAGUUAAUUUUUUCCCCUAAAAUAAGAUUUUUUUUCUUUUAAAUUUUAUAUAUUUUCAUUGUCCAAUAGUUCUAGCUUCUCUUAAUUGCAGGAUUCUUGAUUAAGGUUAAUGAAAUUUUAGUUCUAUUAUGUUAAGAAUAUUUCGAUCGCUUAGAAGAGUAAAGAAAAAUUAGUAAAUUAACCAAAACAAAAGGAUCAGAUUAUCCUUAUUCCCUUGCAUUAUGUGAUCAAUAUCAAAAUUAUAACCAUUUCUUGUUUAUUGCUUGUAGAUUUUCGUAAAUUCAAGAAUUUGGAACAUCUGCACAUGGGUGGGGCGCAGGUUGACGUCAACACCAGUUUUCUUCAAAUUGUCGGUGAAUCGAUGCCUUCACUUAAGUUUUUAUCACUGAUAAACUCUAGUAAAAAUAUUUGAACUAAUAAUAUCAGACAGCUGGCCUUUCUUUUCCUUGAGAUACUGAUUCGGAGUACUAAUAAUUUUUUACAAGUAAAGUUCCAUUAAAAUAGCAUAAGCCAUGACAAACACGUAUUGUUUAAUGGGCAUCCGUGAGACAAAGGAAUUGAUUAACCCAAAAGAUCAUAUGUACGGACACAACGUUUUAAUUAUUAACUUGUUUAAGUUUCUAAUCAACCUCUCUAAUCAAUCACAGCAAUUUUUCUUUUCCUCUAUCUCAAUCACUAAUUUCUUAAAGUGUAUACAAUUUUAGGAUGUUUGUAUUCUGAGAAGUUACACCAGCAGCAACCAAUUAUUUCGAAUGGAUCAGACUCAUCACGUAGAAAUAUUUAUUGUGGAUAUGAGGGAUAUUUUAAUAUAAUCUUAUUCCCACUCUCAUAUGACCGUGUAUAUUUAUAUGAAGAUUUAUUUCUUUGUUUUUUCAAUAAUAACGUGUAACAAUUGGAGUUUAAUUGAGUGGUUUUCAACUAAAUUUUAUUUAAUUGGCCACUCAAUUUUAAAUUUCAGGAGAGUUGAAAAUUUAAAAAUUAGAUUAAACUUUACUCAUUCUUUACCUUUCUAAAAGAAGAAAAAAGUACUGAUUUUUAAACAAUUGGCCGUUACAGUCUAUAAAGUUUUGAUUUGCUUUUUUAUAUAAUCGCUUUUAUUAAAAGAAGAAAAAAAUAUCGAUUUUUAAACAAUUGGCCAUUAUGAUAUAUAAACUUUUGAUUGCUUAUAUAUAAUCUCUUUUAUUAUUCCCCUAAAAUAUUGUCGAUAAUAAAAAAAAAAAAAAAAGCAGUCGGCCUAUGUAGCAAUGCAUAUGUGGUAGUAUAUGCAAAAUAAUAAUUUAUAUAAAAUUAACCCACAAAAAAAAUGAUUGAUGUGAAUAUAGAGUAUAAUUUCAUAUUCAUACACUUUUGAUUUUGUUAGGGCAUAUACUAUAUUGAUAUGAGCAUAGGACAUUGUUUACUAAAUAAAAUUAUUAAUAGUUUUAGUCUUCUAGAAUCCCCUGAUAGUGCUCUUAAUCAAAUUAUAAUAUAAGUCAUUGCUUUUUCUUUUUUAUUUUACCAUUUUAUUCUAUUCACCAGAUGCAUUUUUAGUAAUUAUUUUCUAUGUACAUGGUAGUGUUUGAUUUAUUAAUAUUAAAGAAGUUAUCAAUCACUUUUAAGUUUUUAAGUGUUUUUAUUAGGUGUCAAUUUGUAUUGGCAUGUCAAGUAGAUUUUUUAUUUAUGUUUUGUUAAAUUUAUAUAGACAAGAAUCUGGAUUGUUUUGACACUUUUUAAUUGCUUUUUUUUAAAUCACUUGUUAACAUAUUUUAAAAAUAUUUGUACUAUUAGUUACUCAAAUUCUAAUCGAUUUCGGUCUAAAUUAGGAAAUAAUUUUAAAAUAUAUAAAACAUAAUAUAGAUUUAUAGAAUAAUCUGAGAAUAAAGAAGUCGAAAAUUGUCAUUUAUACAAUUAAACUACUCUUUUAUUAUUCACCAUUUUUAUAAAUAUUAUCAAACUAAAAGAUCUCAUUUAAUAGUCAUAUGGUCUUGUCUGAGCGAGAUUCGAUUCCUAAAUAAUAAUAAUAAUAAUAACAAUAUUUUAAGCAAUGUCUUUUUAACAGCAGUUCAAUCAUCUAAAUACAUCACUAACGAAGAAUAUAAUACAUAUUAUAUACAUAUUUAGAUCACACAAAACACGUUAUCAUCUAAAUCUCACUUUUUCUCCAAUAUGUAAUAAAUUCAUGGAAAAUUUUUGAGUGUUCAUAGUGUAUGCUCCCACUCUAACGCAACUCUCUCUCUCUCUCUCUCUUCUUUUUCACCUGAAAGCUUGUCUAAUUUGGUUACAUUCAUGCAUGCUUACAUAAUUAGGCUCUAAUGGAUCAUAGUGUUGCAAAUUAUUAUUUUAAUGAUACGAUCGAUAUAAGCCGUGACUUUAUUUAAGAAAAAUGCUUGUUUGAGUGCUAAGGAAAGAUAGCAGUUAAUGGUGGGCUGAGAAUAUUAAUAAACAGAAAUCAGCAACAAGAAAAGAGAAAAGAAUCACGUCUGCUGACCCAAAAAAGGGAAAUAAAAUGAUAAAAUCACUGUGCGCAACAAUGAUUGACACAAGAACUUUACUCUUCCAAGCAUUGGUCCUUUUCAUGUCUUUGCCUGCCAAUUUUAGCAAAAUGUUUAAAAGGAAAGAAGUGUUUGUGAAGAGAUUCUCUCUUUAUUAUUCUCCUCUGUGACACUGACACACAACACAAGUGAGCAAAUUAAAACCGAGAAUGUUUCUUUUCGCAGUGCUUAAAGCAAAUUAAAAGCGUGGUGACAUCUGCUCCUCAGCCUCUGUGCUGAAAGAGUUUAAAAAAUAAAGCUGAUCAAAGUGUGUAUGUGUGAGUGUAGGUGGAGUGCAUGGGAUCAGCAUAUAUGUGAUUUUGUGUUCAUCUGCAGUAUAGAAUGUGAUUCUUUUUUCCUAUCACUUUCUUCUAUGCAAGGAUCGUAAAAUGCUGUUCGGUAUGAUCAGCUGCUGGUACUUUUGAGCUUGCAGCAGCUUCCAAUGAUUUUAUUUCCAUCAAAUGACAGCAUAAUUUGCAUCAGCAAAUCCGAGAUGACAUGCCAGUUUUUGGGCUGUUCCAUUUCUAGAUAUAACAUCCAAACUUGAAUAUGUAUCUCAUUUGAACAUGUGUGAUACUGGAAUGGACACACGAGGAGUUGGAAUUUAAAUGAGGUAUCAUAUGCUUUUCUUGAAAGAAAUAACCAAUUCAGUAACGGCCUAGACAACUCUAGCCACUUCAAAUUGUCGGUUAAUUAAUGAUUCUCUUUCUCCCUCUCUCUCGCAUCUUAACUAAAUUUAAUUGAGAAUAUCUACAAUGCUAGCUAUUUAUAAACUUAAUGAAAGAUGAUAAGGAGCCAUUAUAAUGACAAACACAACUGUAAAAUAGUGCGUUGUUGUAGUGUUGAUUGAAAAAUAAUGCUAAUGUUUUACCUAACAACACUAUAACGCCGUAUAAUUUUUAAUAUGUACUUUAAACUAUCAGUACUCAAACUUAAUUUUUAAUAUGUACUUUAAAGAUUUUAUGCAAUUAUUUAAGUUUUAUGCAAUUAUAUUUUUCAGGACUUUGUCGGUUAGUGCAUCUGCAAGAGUUAUACAUCAGCAGUAAUGAUUUGAGAGGUAGCUUGCCAUGGUGCUUGGUAAACAUGACAUCCCUCCAAGUGUUAGAUGCCUCUUCCAAUCAACUUAUUGGAAACAUCUCCCCAGGCCUUUGUGAGUUGGUGCUUCUGAGAGAGUUAUACAUUCAUAACAAUGAUUUAAGAGGUAGCUUGCCUUUGUGCUUGGCAAAUUUGACUUCCCUUCGAGUAUUAGAUGUCUCUUACAAUCAACUUACUGAAAACAUCUCCUCAUCUCCCAUCAUGCAUCUAAUAUCUAUUGAAAAGCUCAUACUUUCAAAUAAUCACUUCUUCCAAAUCCCUAUUUCACUUGAACCACUUUUCAAUCUCUCAAAACUCAAGACUUUCGAUGGUGAAAUAUGCGCAGAAACUGAGUCACAUUAUAAUUCUUUGACCCCAAAAUUCCAACUGACUUCUAUCUCACUGUCUGGUUACAUAGAUGGUGGCACAUUUCCCAAAUUCUUGUUCCAUCAACAUGACUUGAAGAAUGCUGAUCUCUCACACCUUAACUUGAGUGGACAAUUUCCAAAUUGGUUGCUAGAAAACAAUACAAACUUGGAGACGCUUCUUCUUGCCAAUAACUCUCUUUUUGGAUCAUUUCGAAUGCCAAUUCAUUCCCACCAGAAUUUAGCAAUAUUGGAUGUCUCCAACAAUUUCUUUCAAGGCCAUAUCCCGGUAGAAAUCGGAACAUAUCUGCCAGUCUUAAUGGGUUUAAACUUAUCUAGAAAUGCUUUCAACGGUAGCAUUCCCUCUUCAUUUGCUGAUAUGAAAAUGUUGGGAAGGUUGGACAUAUCGCACAAUCAGUUGACUGGUGAAAUCCCAGAGCGCAUGGCCACGGGUUGCUUCUCAUUAGAAAUUCUUGCAUUGUCAAACAACAGUUUGCAAGGUCAUAUAUUCUCUAAAAAAUUUAGCUUGACAAAUUUGAUGACGUUGCAGUUGGAUGGUAAUAAAUUCGCUGGAGAGAUCCCAGAAAGCUUAUCUAAGUGCUAUUUGUUAGAAGGAUUAUAUCUGAGUGAUAAUCAUCUCACUGGUGAGAUUCCAAGAUGGUUGGGUAAUUUGUCAGCUUUGGAAGAUAUUAUAAUGCCCAAUAACAAUCUUGGAGGGCCAAUUCCAAUCGAGUUUUGUCAGCUUGAUUCUCUGAAGAUUUUAGACCUUUCAAACAAUAGUAUUUUCGGAACCUUACCAUCUUGUCUUAGUCCAGGAUCUAUUGAACAACUUCAUUUGUCAAAAAACAAGAUAGAAGGACGAUUGGAAAGUAUAAUCCAUGACAGCCCUUAUUUGGUGACAUUAGAUCUUAGUUAUAACAGCUUACACGGAAGUAUUCCAAAUCGGAUUGACAGACUACCUAAGUUAAACUACCUUCUUUUGGCUAAUAAUUAUAUUGAAGGCGAAAUACCAGUUCAAUUAUGCCAUUUGAAGGAAGUGCGGUUGAUUGAUCUUUCUCAUAAUAAUCUAUCUGGUCAUAUUCCUCCUUGCUUGGUUAACACUUCACUCAGUGAAGGUCAUCAUGAGGCAGUAGCUCCAACUCCAAGUGGAUCUCCGAUGGGAAAGGAAGAAACUGUUCAGUUCACAACAAAGAAUAUGUCCUACUAUUAUCAAGGAAGAAUUUUGACGAGUAUGUCUGGGAUUGAUCUUUCUUGUAACAAACUGACAGGUGAGAUUCCUACUCAAAUUGGAUAUCUUACUAGGAUUCAUGCACUAAAUCUAUCUCAUAACAAUUUGACGGGCACAAUCCCGACAACAUUUUCAAACCUGAAGCAAAUCGAAAGCUUGGACCUCUCCUACAACCUACUGCAUGGGAAAAUCCCUUCUCAGCUCACUGUGCUAAAUACAUUGGCGGUCUUCACGGUAGCAUACAAUAACUUAUCAGGAAAAAUUCCAGAUAGAGUUGCACAAUUUUCAACUUUUGAGGAAGAUAGCUAUGCGGGGAAUCCUUUUCUUUGUGGAUGGCCACUGUCUAAAAGUUGCAAUGAUAGUGGAUUAUCAGCAGUGACACGAGAAGCUUACACUGAUAAUGAAGAAGGUGAUAGUUUAAUUGACAUGGACAGUUUCCUAAUCACUUUUACAGUAUCUUAUGGAAUUGUGAUAUUAGGAAUUAUUGGAGUUUUAUACAUAAACCCCUAUUGGCGACGAAGAUGGUUUUACCUUGUUGAAGUAUGUAUGAUCUCUUGCUACUAUUUUGUAGUAGAUAAUCUUAUUCCUAGAAGAUUCUAUGGUGGAUGGAUGUAAUUUCAUUUACUUUACAACUUAUAUGUAAUUUUUAAAGAAUUUUCUUUUGCAUGCAUGGAAUAGCAACUCAAUAAAAGUAUUUGAUGCAAAUUGUCCAAGAACAACUUAGUAAUUUCAUUGCUACUAUUCGGUUGUAUAUAUACAGUUAAUGAAAUUUUUAAUCAUUCGCAGUAGGAAUUUCUUUAAAUGGCGGCCAAAACUAACAGAUUUGGGGCUCUACCUCUACACAUCAUAACAGGCAAAAGGUCUCUCUUUUACACUAUCUGAAUGAAGAUUAGCUUACGCCCCCUGGAGUUCUCUAUUAAACUUGACGGUUGAGAUUUCAGGUCCAGAUGAAAGUGAAAUGCAGGCGACGAGACUACACUUUAAGUAAACUGGGACAAACUUAAAAUAAAAAAAAUUGUAGUCCAGGGUGAGAGUGAUGGGUAGCUCAACUUAUGGAGGAUAAUUAGGACUUGGAAUAACUAUCAGAUUUGCAACUCUUGUUAUAUGCUAGUGGGGAUUUAGGUAGCAAUUUUUUUUUUUUUCCUUUUUGCCCUCUUCCUCACAAUAAACACACCUAACACACCAAGCCGUGCCCAAAAUAAUCCUAUUUUAUUCAUGUCAUGAAUCCAAAAACUAUCCCAGCUCACUUUGUUUAACCAGCAUAACUAAAUUGUGGGUAUAAAUGAACACACUUUCGAAGCCUGUAACUUAUAAUAAGCUCAAACCCAAAAAUGACAUUUAAAUCCUGCAAGUGUUUUUCAUCAUCCCUAACAAAAAGAAACAAGAAUAAUUAUAUACCAAUAGUUUUUCCAUAAAAAAUACUGAUACCAAUAGUUUUUCCAUAAAAAAUACUGAUUUGAGUUGAAACACUCUACAAACUGGAUUUUAUACACUUGCAGAAAGCUACGCGAUAGACAAAAUCUAGCAGCUACAUAAUGGUAUCACUUUCAGCUGGUCAUGAAUGGUGUGCAUUCAGCAGUGCUCGAUAGACCAUGUCUAUGAAUUGAUUGUCCUAUUACAUAUAAAAGCUGGUCAGAUAUACAAGGAAAAAAAUAAUAAUUGAAAAUGCAUCACAAAAAAUAAGUGUCUCGCAUUAGUGUUUGCACUCUAAGCAUGGCAAAGUGGUGCGGGUUCAUGAUUUUGAAGACUGGGAUAAGUGAAAAAUAGUUCAAUCCACUGAUGAACAUAAAUUUAUUUACAUGUCAAUUUAGAUAUCAUAAAAAAGUAAACUGUAAUUCACAGUCACUUAAAAGAGUUGAUAAAAUGCAUGCCAUGAAUGCAUUUUUGUACAUAAGAAAUCCAAAGAGUAUUUCUGACAAUACAAAUAUGCUAGCUUUAAAUCUGCUGUCAAUAUGCAAUUAAGAAGAUUAUAUCAGCUGCAUGAUAAAGUUCCCCUAAUCUUAAUAACAGUAAACAUGAACAUGUCAGAUGCAAUUAUAGCUUCGAGCAUUUGCAUAACCAGAAAUCCUAACCUGAACAAGCACCAGAAGUGUCUCUCGGACUUUCUCCUUGUUGAUAAAUGGUCCGCUGUUUGAAGUAAGAGCAGGAGUAAGAGAUGGUGGAGGGGUUGGUAGUGGAAAAGGUUGAAGCAUUGGGGCACCAUAUGGGCGUUGCAGACUCAGGGGAGGAUUAAGUGGCGGAGCUGUUGGUGUAGAUGAAGAGACAAGCUGCAUCAUCUGUGCAUAGGAGGAUGGAGGAGGAACAAAGAAUAAGGAAGGCUUUACAAGAUUAGGGGUAGGUGCUGACAGAGGUGGAGAUGGUAUUUGCAAGGUUGGCACGAUAAGAGAAGCAACACUGGCGGGAUGAGAAGGUAAAGAAAUAGUUGUAUUGGACUGGUAAGGUUGUGCAGAGAUUGCUGCAUUAGAAGUAUUCCCCACAGUCAAAGCUGUCUGCAAUGAUAAGGACAGAUGUCAUAUACAAGGACAUGAUAGAAGAUGAACCUCACACAAAAAUGAAGUGAUAACAUAUGAAAAUAGUAUGACUUGCUGCAGUUUUGUGGUAAUGUUGCAUACUUAUGCAGAAACAUAUUAUUUCAAAGAAAACAUACACUGAAGUAGUUCACAAAAGCAGGAUCUUCAGGAACAUCAGCAGCAUUUGAGGGAGUUGACUCUAGAGGGACCAUCCAUAACUGCCAUAGUUGGAACAGCUUCCAGUUCCUCAAACUCACUGCAGUUUAACAUAAAAGGAACUUGAUGACCAAUUUAAGUAAUAAUUAGAUGAUAUAAGAGGUUAGGGAAAAUGAUGAGUGGACCCUUAUGGAAGGUGAUUUCACCUUAACUAAACACGAAAAUAAAAAGAAAUCAAAGCUGAAUCCUCGAGUGCAAUGCAAAGAAUUUUUUCUCGCUCUUCUCUAACUCCUCUUAUUCGAAAUUGCUCAUCAUUGUGCUGUUCUUAGAGUUUUCACUAGAGUAGAGAAAGCUAUUCUCCCGUUAAGUACAGAGGAAAGAGAAGGGCAAGGGCCUGGUAUGAUGCUAUUCUAUAGGAAGUGAGAAGGUGAAGGGUUAAAAUAUUUUGUAAUUUGGAGGUGGUGUUUGUUAGUGUGUGUGUACUUCUGAAUUUAUUACCUCUUUAGGAUCCAUAGAAAUUGCCUCUUGUUCAGCAUACACUGUGCCUACGAGUAAGACGAGCUUGCAUGGUAUCUAUUGUCUAUUUACUUGGAUAUUCAAACAUGACUACCAGCAACCAAACACAAAUCCCCAAACAAAACACUCUUUCAAGUGCAAGGAAAGAGUAACUUGGGCAUAUUUAUAGUUCAAGCACUACAAUAACUAAGAAUGUGAUGACUGUCCACAAACACUAUAUUAGUGCCUUUUGAACUACAUUACAUGCUCGAAGACUUUUUUUUUAGUCAUACAUAAAUUAGCUAUAAAAUUAAGACCGUUAUACAACUAAAAAGAAAGAAAAAUUGUUUGCUACUACAUAUCAAAACUGGUAAUAGCAAUGUAAGAUGGCAGACUUCUUACUUAAACAGAUGAGAGGCUACAAAUAAAAAAUUUGUGCAAAUAAAAUAUAUGAUAAAGAGCAUAAUACUUUCUUGGGGGCUAAAAAUAAUAUACAACUUGUGAAAUAUAAAUUGAGCUACCAUUACCUUUUAGAUGUGGCAACUUUCGACUUUUGAGGCACCUUGGAAUAUGCAUUCAGAAUCCUGCAUUUGGAAGCCAAAUAAAUAAUGUUAAUAACAAUUUUACAAUAGAAAAAUUAAAAAUUGAUAAAUGGCAGUUGUAAUUUAUGUAUGCGUAAAGAUAGCUUCACAUCCAGGGUCCUCCCAUAAACAUGCUUGUAACAAGAAUUAGUUUGUCCAACUGUUAGCAACUGCUAACAAUGUACAAUAGUAAAAAUCACUCUCAUGAACUCAACAAUACUAGGCACCAAUAAGAGUAUGAUACAGCCAUUCUAAAAUGGAAGAGAAUACAACUGUUUUACAACUAUGUUGCAUCAGGAAUUAUGUUAGGAGGAUUAAUCCAGAUACCUUCCAACCCAAUUAGGAAAACUCGAGUCAGAAACCAGGAGCCACAACCGAACCUUACAAUCUUGAAGGAAGAAGGAGACUUGGGGCAUUUUUCCAGAUAGGUGACUUACUAGAUCUCCUGCCAAGAGAAUAUCUAUUGCUUUGAACCUCCAUUGAAAUUUCUUUUCCCUUUUUCUUGUUUUGGCUUGGAACUUUCCAGCAUCAUCUAUUUGAUCUUUUUUAAAGCUAAAAAAGCAAUCUAUGGGUUGUGAACAUCUUAUCACCACCCCCCCCCCCCGGGCCCCCCAAAAAAAAAUCAAUGAGUUGUCAAUAAAUAGCGCCUACUCAAAUGUUUUCCAAUGGAUGACAAUGUGCAAAUCGACCUAGCAGCCACAUUUUUCCCCCCUUUCAACCACCAUUAGGCAACUUUUUUAACCUUUCUUCAUUGCCCACGUCUACAGAACUAUCAUAUAAAGACUACAUUAUUAUUGGGAUAGAGAAAAAUAUACAGACUGUAUUAUUAUAUCUCAUUUUAUUAAUUAACUAGUGCAAGACUUAUUUAGUGUCAAAUCAAGAACUAAUUGGAAAAGACAACUCAUGAUAAUACAGACCUUAAAAAGCAAUAGCUAGCAACACCCCAUAUACUCCUAUUUUAGCCUUUAAUAUCCUGGUAAAAACACAAUUAAGUCUUGCAAAAGAACAUUCACAAGUAAAUUCAACAUUAAUUAAGAUUAAGUAUCUACUGCACCUUCAAUCAAUGACUGGGUGAAUAGCAUGGUCAACCAUCUAGUUCCUGUAGCCCUCCUUGUACCUAUGUUGGUUACAUUUUACAUAUUAAGCCACGAAAAUGAAGGAUCACAGCCUGGUAAAGAAAGCCAUUAAUUAAUAGUGUUUGUUUAAAAAGUUCUCGUUUAGAUCUUUCCUAUUCAAUGAAUCAAUGUCAUCCAUGGAGAACUCUUCCAUUUCAAGCAGUGUUAGAAGAUAAUUGGAAAGCCUAAAGAUAGUAUACAAGGACCAAGAUAUCGAUUAGGUCAAAUAGUGAAUGUCAAAUAUAAAAAAUAAAUAAAAGAAGUUGUACAUGAUCAUUUACUAUCAAGUUCUGUAAAAUUGAAAAUACCAUUAUCUCUGUAGAGAUUCUCAAACAACUCUUUAGCAAAUUAUAAAAUAGUUAAAAAAAGAACAAAAGUUUUUUUUUAAAAAAAGAACAUCCAUAUCAGGAGAUGUUUUUCUUCUCAAUCUCAAUAUUUUCUAGCCGUGAAGCAAUUGAAAAGCUUAACACCAAGUGAAUUAUUAAGAAUUCAUCAUUUAAAUUCCCAAAUCGCAAAAUGUUGGUGCAACUAGGAAAGUGCAAAUGCAAUCACUUAACUAACACAAGAAACACCAAUAGUGAGAGCCCACUUUGUAUCAAAUUUGAAACAGAUAGAGGUCAAAAAAAUUAUACACUCAAUUAAAAGCCUUUCAAACAGCUUUUGCAUGGAACAAGAACAAAUCAAAGGCGAUGUGAAUGUAUUCAAAGACUAAUUUACAAUGAUCUACAGGACAUAAAUAUCUUGGAUACCUACUCUCUAUACCUUACUGUCCCACUAGAAAUCAUCAAAUCCCUCCAAACAAAAAUGACAAAAUGGAUAAGAAUUGUGUCGUUAAACUUCAAUAACUUAGCAGCCACAGCAAAAACUUAUGUAGGCACGCAAGCCAUUCAAAAUAGUCAUAUUGUUUGCUUUCCAAACAAAAGCCACUUUGUAAUGAAUAUUCAUAAAUUGCUACUAUCAUGUUUGUUAAAACACGUGAAAACCACCAUAACUAACUAAAUGUAACUGAUGAUCAUCAUCAAGUUCAUGGAAUCACAUAUCUGACAGUAUUAAUUAGUGCAAAUGGCAUGCUUCUUAAAACUCCGUAUUUAUCACAUGGGCGCCAUUCCAAUCAACCAAUGAUUCUGAUCUAGUCGGCAUAUUCAACCCACGAGCGAGUAAUACCUCCUAUUGCUUCUUUACAUUUCUCAACGAAAUUCCACAUUCUAACCAUACUUCUGAACUUGUUGCUCCCAUAGACUAAUACAAUAUAAAGAUUUCUUCCCACACCACCUCAGCCCACACUCCUGAAAAACCAAUUUAAAUUCUCAUUGGCUGUACAACCUAUAGUCCAUACCAAAUUGAAAAAUUUACAAAUAUAGAACCUCAAAGAAUCUUCUUGCAUUCCAUUUUUUACGGCAAGAAAUUUGACUUUUACCACAUGCAAGUCAACAAAUAAAAAAAUCAUGUCUUUGUGAGAUGCACAUUUUCAGACGAAUCUAAAGAGCAAUGAAACCGUAAAAACCGAAUAUGAGAACACCGAGGACUCCAGAUAUCACCUAUAGAAUCUUUGGUCCACACUUGCACGAUGAAAAUGAUGAAAAACAAUUGAAGGCUUCAUCACCAGCUCCCCAGGUUGUUUUGUUCUCCUAUCUCCUAAAUAUAAAGGAAACGCAACCCGUUCUUUUUUCCAAUCUUAAGGGGCACAAAACGACUCUGGUAUAAAAUAGUCAGUUUCUAUACAAAAAUAACUCCUUUGCACUUGGCAUUGCACAUCUCGAAAUAAAAAGCAUGCUAGAAAGAGAAUAUAAUAGCAUUAAACAAGUUUUAUUAACCAAACUUCAAAGAUGCCACACAAGGCAAAAAUGGAAUCUGUACAAGCCAGAUUCCAAGAAUAAUAAUUCCAAUAUACAAUUCAGGAAAACAAUAACUAAAACUAGGUUCACGAGGCCUCGGCAGAAGCAACAUGUAAUAACCAUACUCUAUUAUUUGAAACACAUUUCUAAGUUUGGUUAAGAUUCUAAACUAUUCUCUGUGUCAAUUAUUAACAUGUAAAACAUAAUAAUAUACACUUAAACUACUACACAAACUACUACACUAGUAAAACCAGUAAAACAACAAUACCUGCUGAAAAGAUUUGCUACCUCUUCACAUUCACGAGCAUUGUAGAACCAAAUCCCAUUUACUUCUUGGGAUGCAUUUCGAUAUAACAAAUACGGAACCUGAACUUCAAACUCAAAAUCUCCCAAAAGAUUUUCCACUAAAUUAUCUGCACAUAUACAAGAUAUUGAAGCUUAUGAGUGCAAAAACAUAUACAAAAAGACAUGAAGGUUAGAAGACAUAACUAAAACUUAGCAACAACUGAUAAGCACAACAAGACAUGAAAUAUAACACUAGUUGUAAACAAGAUAGACACAUGGUAUCUAAAAAAUUGUACCAACCCCCUCUCCUGAUUGUCAUAAAACGGCCAAUAUUUAACCCUAGACAACAAAAUUGCAAAUACUCUAGCCUCUAUAUUAUUGGCAUAUAAAUAUUUUAGGUUAGGUACGUUAUAUUCUUCGUUCUAAAACCUCAAUUAUUAGCUAGUACUGUGAUAAAAUGAUUCAUCACUGAAAUUAAAACUAGUUCACGUACAAAUAAUCAAAACUGAAAUAGAAACAACGACAAACCAACCUGUAUUACGUCGAUUCAUUACAACAAACUGAAAUCGAGGCUGUGUGUUCCUGAAAAUUGAAAAAAUAAUAAUUUCACCAACUUCAUAUGUGAUACAAUCUCCAAAACACCGAAUAUCAAAUGAAAAAAUGGAAAGCAUAAGAGAGAAAAGAAUCUAAUUUUAUUGACCUUUUGACGACGAAGAGAGAUCCUUCAACAUCCCUACGACUCCAUUGGCUGAGGUCGAUGUUGAACUCGUAGAAGGUGACAUGAGCGGCCGUGAUGAGGAUCUCCUCAAUGAAUGGAUCGAAUCGCUGAAGAACUGUCAGGUUUAGGAGUUUUGUGCUCUGCUGGUCCAGAUUAGGCAUCAAUUUUCCGUUCUGCGACAUUUUUUAUAGUCGUUUUGGGCUCUGCCCCGAUCACUAGCCCUCAUGUUUUUCUGUGAGCUCUCUCUCUUUUGUAAAUAAAGUGUUUGAUGAGAGCGCCGAGAGAGAGUGAAAGAGUUGAACAGCCAAACAAGGUGAGGUGAACAGUUUCGGACUGAGACUCGAGAUUGGUCAAGCUUUAACUUCUUUC
rnacentral:lncRNA from 1 species